UGAAUACGAGACGCUACGGCGUCGAAGCAGUCUAUGUCAUACUUCCAAGAAAAGCUUGCACUGUCAUAAACAAAUAAUGCCUGUACCAUAACCGACACAGGUGGGUAGGUAGAGUAUACUAAGGGGCGCGAGAUAACUCUCUCUAAGGAACUCGGCAAAAUGACUCCGUAACUUCGGGAGAAGGAGUGCCUUAUUUAUAAGGUUGCAAUAACAAGAUCCAAGCAACUGUUUAUCAAAAACACAGGUCUCCGCUAAGUCGUAAGACGAUGUAUGGGGGCUGACGCCUGCCCAGUGCCAGAAGGUUAAAGAAGUUGGUUAGCAUUAGCGAAGCUGAUAACUGAAGCCCUGGUGAACGGCGGCCGUAACAAUAACGGUCCUAAGGUAGCGAAAUUCCUUGUCGGGUAAGUUCCGACCCGCACGAAAGGCGUAAUGAUUUGGAUACUGUCUCGGAGAGGGGCUCGGUGAAAUAGACUUGUCUGUGAAGAUGCGGACUACCUGCACCUGGACAGAAAGACCCUAUGAAGCUUUACUGUAACCUGAAAUUGAAAUUGGACUUUAUUUGCGCAGUAUAGGUGGGAGGCGUUGAGAAUAUUCUUGCGGGAAUAUUGGAGCCAUCAGUGAGAUACCACUCUUGUAAUGUUAGAUUUCUAACUUUGAAUCAUUAUCUGGUCAAAGAACAGUUUCAGGCGGGCAGUUUGACUGGGGCGGUCGCCUCCUAAAUGGUAACGGAGGCGCACAAAGGUUUCCUCUGAACGGGUAGAAAUCGUAUCUAGAGUGUAAAGGCAUAAGGAAGCUUGACUGUGAGACCUACAAGUCGAGCAGGGACGAAAGUCGGUCUUAGUGAUCUGACGGUGCUGAGUGGAAAGGCCGUCACUCAACGGAUAAAAGUUACUCUAAGGAUAACAGGCUGAUCUCCCCCAAGAGUUCACAUCGACGGGGAGGUUUGGCACCUCGAUGUCGGCUCAUCGCAUCCUGGGGCGGUAGUACGUCCCAAGGGUUGGGCUGUUCGCCCAUGAAAGCGGUACGCGAGCUGGGUUCAGAACGUCGUGAGACAGUUCGGUCCAUAUCCGGUGUAGGCGUUAGAAUAUUGAGAGGAGCCUUCUUUAGUACGAGAGGACCGAGAAGGACAUACCUCUGGUGUACCAGUUAUCGUGCCAACGGUAAACGCUGGGUAGCUAUGUAUGGAGAGGAUAACCGCUGAAAGCAUCUGAGUGGGAAGCCCACCUCAAGAUAAG
rnacentral:rRNA from 1 species